GUUGGCGGCGUGGAUUAGGCAUGCAAGUCGAGGGAGAACCCGCAAGGGGGACACCGGCGAACGGGGUAGGAUCACGUAGGUGACGUACCCCCAGGGCGAGGAUAGCCACGGGAAACUGUGGGUAAUACUCGAUAAUCUUCCCGAUCAUGAUCGAAUGGGAAGCAAUGGGUGUGAUUCCACCUGGGGAGCGGCUUACGCAGUAUCAGCUAGUUGGUGAGGUAACGGCUCACCAAGGCUUUGACGCUUAGGGGGUGUGAGAGCAUGGCCCCCACCACUGGCACUGAGACACUGGCCAGACACCUACGGGUGGCUGCAGUCGAGAAUCUUCGGCAAUGGACGAAAGUCUGACCGAGCGACGCCGCGUGCGGGAUGAAGGUCUUCGGAUUGUAAACCGCUGUCAGAGGGGAUGAAGUAUACGAGAGCUAUCUCUUGUAUUUGACAGAGCCUCAGAGGAAGCACGGGCUAAGUUCGUGCCAGCAGCCGCGGUAAU
rnacentral:rRNA from 1 species